UAAUUCCCUUGCUUUCAGUCCUGCACUCU
rnacentral:piRNA from 1 species